rnacentral:lncRNA from 1 species
UUACCGAUGAGAUUGCUAUUAUUAGUUACGUUGCUAUCUAUCGUUGGUUACACUAAUCAGUUGCUUUCCAACUGACCUCGAAGACGCUCCAGCUGUAAUCUGGGUAGCCCAAUUUCCUCCAGAUAACACUACACAGCACUAUGAAUUCAGAUAUAUCGUAAAUGAAUUAUAUAAUGCUAGCAAGAUGACUGCAUUAAUGAACCAUAUAUAUAUCGAUAAUCCGCUUAUAAGCAAUUCAACUAAUAACGUUACUCACGAGUUAUUGAUUGAUCUCCAUGAACUUUAUAAUGACGGAGAGAUUUCCAGGAUAGUUCUACUCAGAACUUUGGUAACUCAAUCUGCGGAUGAUGCUACAUGGAUAAUCAACUUGACAGAUGAUGUGCUUAAUGGAUUACCACUGCUGAAGAAGCGAGACCGAUACACCACACAAUGUCAUAGUACAAAUAUGGCAAGCACAUAUGACUGUGACACUGGAGCCAAUGCUGUUGGAGCCCGAGGUGGAGCCACGUUAGCAGCCGACUAUAGAGGUGAUUGGGGGGGGUAAUGUUAUACAAACCUUUGGUAGUAAAAGCGUGUCUUACUGAGAUCUAGCAUGUGAUGUUUUGGCUUAUUAUCGAUGAUUGUUCUCAAUCAAGAGCAAACACCCACCCUGAAGUAUCAGGCGUUAUACCUGGUUCUGCUGGAAUGCGUAGAGUAUGUGUUAGUGAUAGAGGAUCUGGGUGUUAAUAUUGCAUCCCAU